CGGGACCGAGUUGCGUAGAGGCGGACGGCCAGUAGGAGGCGCACGCUACCUAUGAGCAAGAACGAGCGAGCGGCUCUCGGUGUUCCUGCGCAGUGGGGCGUGGACUGGACGGGCACAGAGGCUCUUGAGUCACAGUUGCACAAUACUGAUGCGAACAGAACUGGCUCCUGUCCACAGAUAUGCAAAGGAGUCUCAGUCGGAAAAGCUGGGGUUGAUCCUCUGUGUGGUGAUAUCAGGUAUCAUGUAGUUUCUCACUUAUAUUGAAAUUCAUCUCAGCCUUUCUGAUGGCUGUGUAUAUAGGGUUAUAAAUAUAGCUGUGUACACACACACACACACACACACACACACACUGGUUUUCUUGAGGGGUUUUUUGUGCUUUGGUAUAUUUUGUAUUUAUU
rnacentral:lncRNA from 1 species